rnacentral:rRNA from 1 species
AAAUGGACUCUCACCACCGGAA